UCUUGGUCAUUUAGAGGAAGUAAAAGUCGUAACAAGGUUUCCGUAGGUGAACCUGCGGAAGGAUCAUUACAGUAGUCACCCGGGUUGCCGCAAGGCCUCUCGGGUAACCUACCACCCUUUGUUUAUUACACUUUGUUGCUUUGGCAGGCCUGCCUUCGGGCUGCUGGCUCCGGCCGGCGAGCGCUUGCCAGAGGAUCUAAACUCUGUUUGUCUAUACUGUCUGAGUACUAUAUAAUAGUUAAAACUUUCAACAACGGAUCUCUUGGUUCUGGCAUCGAUGAAGAACGCAGCGAAAUGCGAUAAGUAAUGUGAAUUGCAGAAUUCAGUGAAUCAUCGAAUCUUUGAACGCACAUUGCGCCCCCUGGUAUUCCGGGGGGCAUGCCUGUCCGAGCGUCAUUACAACCCUCAAGCUCUGCUUGGUGUUGGGCCCCGCCGCCCCGGCGGGCCCUAAAGUCAGUGGCGGUGCCAUCCGGCUCCGAGCGUAGUAAUUCUUCUCGCUCUGGAGGUCCGGUUGUGUGCUUGCCAUCAACCCCCAAUUUUUUUCAGGUUGACCUCGGAUCAGGUAGGGAUACCCGCUGAACUUAAGCAUAUCAAUAAGCGGAGGAA
rnacentral:rRNA from 1 species